rnacentral:rRNA from 1 species
GACGUAGGGCGCGAGCGUUGUCCGGAUUUAUUGGGCGUAAAGAGCUCGUAGGCGGCUCGGUAAGUCGGAUGUGAAACCUCCAGGCUCAACCUGGAGACGCCAUCUGAUACUGCCGUGGCUUGAGUCCGGUAGAGGAGCAGGGAAUUCCUGGUGUAGCGGUGAAAUGCGCAGAUAUCAGGAGGAACACCAGCGGCGAAGGCGCUGCUCUGGGCCGGUACUGACGCUGAGGAGCGAAAGCGUGGGGAGCGAACAGG